CUGGAGCUGGUGCUUUUGGAGUGGCCUGGCCUUGGUGGUGUCUUAUCCUAUGCUUUCAGGGCAGGGAGAAAGCAACCUGGGCUGCCAGGUGGCCAGGGAGGUCAGAGUAUCACCUGUACCUCAUUUAAGUGAUAAUGAAAUAACACAGCUCAGCUUGGUGUGGUUGGGAGGAAGACGAGUAGGUGAUAUAAGGAGUUCUCAGUGGCUCCUUCUCCUCUUUUUCAGGGUACUAGGGGGUGUCCUGGGGGUGCCCAGUGUUCUGGGACCCUCAUCCACACAGCGCUGGAGACCUGAGGGUAGCAGAACCAUCAGCCCCCACAGGAAUGAUUCUCCUGCUUGUGGAUCACAAACUUGGCUGCAGGACAAAGGGCCAUUCAUCACGCUCCAAAGUGCUGCAAAGGGCUCCCGUGUUCCACCGGAGAAGUGCCUGCGUUCGAAUCCAAGCGAGAAAGUUUUCUCCCUGUGCUUGAGGCCACUCCAGAGAGUAAUGGAGCUUGGCGCUGCUUUAGGAUCCUUUUGGAUGAGUUAUAGGGGCAAGCACCUUGUCAUGCGCCACUCGGUCUCCAGCAAAUCUGGCCCUUCUCGGCCUUGGAAAGCUGUGGAAAACUCAAGAGAGGGAAACCAACUUCUGCCUGCCGAUGAACUCCAUAAAGACCCCUUAAAUGUAGAUGACAUGGUGGAAAACAUCCCAAAACCAUGA
rnacentral:lncRNA from 1 species